CCACAUCACAUUAAAACACUGGAUCCGGUAUGAUCCCUAAAGUUAAGUAACAUUGAGCCUGGUCAGUACCUAGAUGAGUGACUGCUUUGGAAUACCAGGUGCUGUAA